GACGAACGCUGGCGGCGUGCUUAACAUAUGCAAGUCGAACGGAAAGGCCCUGCUUUUGUGGGGUGCUCGAGUGGCGAACGGGUGAGUAACACGUGAGUAACCUGCCCUUGACUUUGGGAUAACUUCAGGAAACUGGGGCUAAUACCGGAUAGGAGCUCCUGCUGCAUGGUGGGGGUUGGAAAGUUUCGGCGGUUGGGGAUGGACUCGCGGCUUAUCAGCUUGUUGGUGGGGUAGUGGCUUACCAAGGCUUUGACGGGUAGCCGGCCUGAGAGGGUGACCGGCCACAUUGGGACUGAGAUACGGCCCAGACUCCUACGGGAGGCAGCAGUGGGGAAUAUUGCACAAUGGGCGGAAGCCUGAUGCAGCAACGCCGCGUGCGGGAUGACGGCCUUCGGGUUGUAGACCGCUUUCGCCUGUGACGAAGCGUGAGUGACGGUAAUGGGUAAAGAAGCACCGGCUAACUACGUG
rnacentral:rRNA from 1 species